ensembl:lncRNA
GAAAGAGUGAGACACAGAUAGAGGAAGACAGACAGAGAGAGAGACAGAGCAAGGGUGAGCGUGAGCGUCGAAGCAAAACAAACCGAGGCGAGUCAGCCUCCGUCUGAUCCAAUAACAUCGGGGUAAUUGGACGGCCUCGUUCUGUGGAUUCCCUCUAAGGGUAGGUUAAUCCCCCUGAAGAGGACGUCUGUCGUCCACUGACAACCACUUGAACCUGGCUACCAAGGAGCACCAGGUUCACUCCCAAAGAUCCCAAUGAAUGAGGGAACGGUCUGAAGAGGGUGUCCUUGACUAUCGCCACUGACGGCUUAAUUGUGAUCUCAGCGAGGCCCCCUCUGGCGACAGCCUCCGCCACCACCACUCGACAGCUCCGUAGCUCGUGAACGCAGAGAAACACCUCCUUUGCAUAUUCACUUUAGCCGCAACCCAUCGCAGCGCGGGAAAGCAAAGUGUCAACCGAGAAUGUCCGCUAUGUGGGAGAGAAGAACACAGCAGCGGUGAUAUAAGUGACACCCCAAAUAGUUCCCCUGAGUCUCCUCCCGGCAGAUAAUAACUAAAUAAAAACACAGAAUGAAGUGGCCAUCCGAGACCAAGUCACUCAAUCUCUAACCAACACACCUGGGGCGAGGGUCUGCACAUCAGAAAGGCACGCUGAAUUUGUUGCAGUUGCAGAACAGGAUCCUUACACCGGCAAUCUUUCAGGUCAUCAAGUGCCUGCAAUCAGGGGGACGCUGAGUUGAUCCUGUUGGAACUGUUCCAGCUCUGACAGGACAGCUGCUUGGGUGGAUCACUUCAUGAGGACUAACAUUUUGUACCAACCAAAUGGCCUCGGGACGUAUUGCUCCUGAGCCUAUUUUCUUCCACCUUCUUUACAUGUGGUCUAACAG